UACAGAGGUCUCAAGCGUUGUUCGGAUUUAUUGGGCGUAAAGGGUGCGCAGGCGGUAUGGUAAGUUUGGUGUGAAAUCCUGGAGCUUAACUCCAGAAUUGCACUGAAUACUGCCAUGCUAGAGGACUGGAGAGGAGAUUGGAAUUCACGGUGUAGCAGUGAAAUGCGUAGAUAUCGUGAGGAAGACCAGUGGCGAAGGCGAAUCUCUGGACAGUUCCUGACGCUCAUGCACGAAGGCCAGGGGAGCAAACGGG
rnacentral:rRNA from 1 species